AAUAUUCACAAUGGAUAGUUGCAAAUUAGAGAAGCCUUCUAGAAGUCAUGGCCGAAUUUCCUUCAGCCAAGCCGCCUCUUGGAGUUUUCUUUGCAGCGAUAGCCCCUCGCUUGCAGCCAAGAUAUUAUUCGAUCUCUUCCUCUCCAAAGUGAGCAAUAUUUCAAAUUUGACCGAUCAAAUUUCCAGUUAUUAUUCAUUAUUGUUAUCAUUGUCAUUUUUCUAGUGAAUGGUUGUUGUUAGAUUUUGUUUUAUUAAUCAUGGAAACCAUUGUAAAUCAGAGUAAUACCGAGCUCUUUGAUUUCAUAAAGUGUUGAUUUCAUUUUUGCUUUUAAUUCUUUCUGCAACCAUGAUCAAUUAGGACAAUCCCAAGUUCAUCAAUUUCUUUUUUUUUCUUCUCUUAAUUUUUAUUUUUAUUUUUCAAUUUUAACCAUCUGAUACUUGUCCACCAAUUGGCUAGUUUGGUAAUCAAUUCAAGGUAAUUUUUGGAUUAUGAUGCAUCUAAGUUGGUGCUGACAGAUUAAUUUGAGUUACUUGUAUGCCACAUAUAUCAACCAUCACAUCUUGCCAAAGUUGUUAUGCCUGAAAGCUACCUCUGCAGAAAUACUUUACAGCGACAUGAAUAUAGAACGGAUCCUUAUCCAUUUGUCUUAACAAUAGUAAGAUUGAGGAAAGUGAACUCUCUGAUGCAAGCUCAACAAAUUUGAAAGAAGAUGGAUCUUCACCGUCCCUAACUCUAAUCAGAAAGCAAGGAUCGUAUUCAGAUAAACUUUCAUAUCUAAAAGGAAAAGUGCCUUCCUCGAUAAGAAUUCUAACAUCAGUUGCCCUGCCCUUUGGAGUUUUUGAGAAGGUUUUGUUAGAUGAUUCAAACCAGAAAUGGCAUAGGUGAUAAUCAAGCAAAUGCUAGAUGUGUAUGCCUAGAUGAGGGCUUCACUUGGUGAGGCAUGCAUUUCAUGACAAAGAGGCAUGCAUAACAAGUGAUUUCUUGUUUAGAAGCCUGAAAUAUAACUUCAUUCGAUCACAAUGCAUCAUUAACAUGAGAGAUGCAUCGGAGUAGACUUCCUUUUUCUCUAUCCAGGGUCCAUGUACACUGGAGUAGACUUAUACAAGAAGUGUGGAGUGUCCAUUAUUCAAAGGUGAGCUUUUAUGCAAGUAUUGAAUUUGGAUUUUCCUCAUAAAAAACUAAGCGAGUAUUUUGAGAUAAAUAUGAGAUUUUCACUACCUAUUCUAAUAAUAAAUGCGGAUCCUCUAGCACUAAAACUGUUGGAAAGACUUUUGGCAUUUGUACAAAAGUCCCUUCUGCACAGGUAUGUAUUUGCUAUUGUGUUUCCAAUUGUCUAUAAAGAAUGGAAAUGCUUCCU